CCUGGUUCCCAUCAGCACCACUGUAAAGACAUCGGAACCAUUCACACCAAACCCUCUGAGUGACUGUUUACAGUUUGCUCAGUCCAGCUUUAUUUUGUGCACCAAAAGCCAGAAGCAGGAAGGAUUGACCUGUUGUCAUUUCCAUGACCUGCCAUUUCCUUCACACCUGAAGACCGGAAUGAAAUGUGAGGAAGACUGUUGUAGCUUAAGCCCACAUCAUUACAACUGCUGCUGUAAAAUGUGCCCAUGAUGGCCUGAUGGGAUGGUGUUCUCACCUCGAUCCUGAAAUGGCUCACAGUAUGUCCAGCCUGUCCUCUGCAGUUACAUUAUGUAGGCCAGACUACAAACUCAGGGCCUAAGGGCCUACAGAGUUUACCGUUUACUCUGCUCUGCUGCAUCCAGUUCAACUCAUGA